AUCCAACACAACAAGUCAGGUCGGCCAAAAUGAAGGCCGACAGUUCCUCGGAUGGACGACGGCACGGAACACACGGAACAGACUCGAGUCACUGACCUCGCCAGACUGUCUGACGGCCGAUUAUUGGGUUAGUGUGUCACUGCCUUCAGUAAUCGGAGCAACGAAAAGAAAUG